rnacentral:rRNA from 1 species
UACGUAGGGCGCAAGCGUUGUCCGAAAUUAUUGGGCGUAAAGAGCUCGUAGGCGGCUUGUCACGUCGGGUGUGAAAGCCCGGGGCUUAACCCCGGGUCUGCAUUCGAUACGGGCUAGCUAGAGUGUGGUAGGGGAGAUCGGAAUUCCUGGUGUAGCGGUGAAAUGCGCAGAUAUCAGGAGGAACACCGGUGGCGAAGGCGGCUACCUGGACCGGAACUGACGCUGAUGCGCGAAAGCGUGGGUAGCAAACAGG